rnacentral:tRNA from 2 species
GGAGAGAUGGCUGAGUGGUUUAAGGCAGCGGUCUUGAAAACCGUCGUGGGUUAAUAGCCCACCCAGAGUUCGAAUCUCUGUCUCUCCGCCA